UGUGUAUGGUUGCUGCCUCCUUGCUAAGGGAGAAGAUGUUGCACCAUGGAGGCAAGUUGGGGCUAUGAUGGAAGAGAGGUUAAGAAACUGUUUAAGCUGCUUUUGAAUAGAAAUACUAUUUUUUGAUUAAAUGCUGCAGAAUGGAUUGGUAUUGAAAUUGCCUGAGAAAUAAAUUUAAAGAAUGCACAGCUCAUGGUGAGAGACGCCAUCACAUAUGUUCAGAGGCCGAUGAACUGCAAAGAUCUGGGAGCCACAUGUGACCAGUAGAACGAGCAUCAGCCUCGCGCGGAGUUUCAGUGGGAGAUGACUUUUGGGAAAGUUCCCACAGAAAUGCCAUUGUAGCAGUUCUGUCCUUUCUGGGCCUGAUUUCAUUUAUUCUGAGGCUUCCUCACGCGUUCCUGGCACUGCGACGAGACCUUCCAGCGGGUAUAAAGCACACUUGCGAUCGCAUCGGGGCCCUUUGGCGUUGCCAGAAGGGUGUGAAAGGGCUGCUCGUGUCAAGAGGAAUCUGGCCCACGCUGUUUAUCCGUACAGUAGCUUCUGCUGAGUCAGAGUCUGCCUCGCAGCCAGGGAAAAGGAAGGGCUUGUUUUCAUUAGGGGACAUCAACGCUAUCUGGUGGCUGCAGAUCACCGGAGCUCAGAGCAUGCUGAGGGAGGCUCUCAGAAGACUUUCUGGAACCCCAAAGCAGGAAUACUUCGGUGUGAUGAAUGACACAGUUGGAAGGAUGAGAUUUUUCAGUAAUACAGCAGCCUCUCCUUAGGGCUUAAUCUCCCAAAAGCGGAGAGCAGGAGCUGAUCCUUCUCCGAUGAGAACAGAAGGAAAAGACCUCAGGAGGCUGCGACAACCAUGCAAGUAGGCAAGCCUUCAGCCAGCUUGCUCAUGGAAGUGUGGGCAGCACCUUUCUGAGGGCAGGAAGUCCGCAUAAGGAACGAGAGCACGGAUGCACCAGAAGCCUGCUGGGCUCCCCACCGACGUGGUGCAGAGUGCAGGGGCUGCCUGCCUCCCCACCUCUGAGGGGCUGGAAGUGGUGGCACUGCUGAGCUCCAGGAACUGGGAAUGGCACAGGAGGCUGCUAGGAAACUGCUGAUGCCUCUCAGCAGGAAGGGCUUGAGGCUGGUGUCCGAUCACGUUUUCCUGUAUUGGGUCAUUGUGAGUCCAGCUCUUGUCUUGGGAGCCAUCUGCUCCAAGCUUUUCUCAUCACGGGGUGAUGUCAGAUGCUCAGGAGUGCUUCCAGAGUCAAGCUGCUCAAGCUCCAGCUGCUUGCUUUUGUGGGACUAGGUGUUUACAGAAGCUGACCCUGUGACCCACCACUGACCAGCACACGUCUCCUCCAGUACUGCUGAAGGACACCACUGCAGCCAGCACUGGUUUGGGAGCUGUGGAGCAGAAGGAGCUGUGGUGCUCGCCCCUGGGAGCACCGUUCGCAUGCAUCUCUUACUCGAUAGCAAAAAUUGGACGUGAAGCUGACAGAGCAGGAUCAGGAGGCUUUGGUUCGCACCGCCGCUGCAGGCAACCACCGCAUCCUGACGUGGACCAGGGAGACAUCCCUGAAUGCCGCCUUUGUUUCGUGCCAGGGAGUUUCUUUGGAUGAAGCCGAUCAAAGGGAAGCGUUAUUCCACGCACUGCAGCACGAGUCUGCCUGAAAACUAACUUCUGUAAUUUCUUUUAUGGCUCUUAUGCCCUCUGGAGUUCCUACAGCGAGCUUCCCUUGCCUUUUGGUUAAGAGAGGUGCCUGGGUGACCCAGAAAGGUUUUUCCCAGACAUGUUUUGCUCAGGACGGAAUGAGCUUUUAUUCCUCCUCUUUACCUGUACCUUUUCAUGUGAUUGGGCACUGGGAUAUCACAUGGUGAAGUGAGCGGUUAAGUAAUUUCCCUUGUCCUUAAGAUCUCAACACUUUUAUUGUGUACUUGAAUCACACAUCCCUUGCUUCAGGCUGCUUCUCCUUGCCACAGCUUUUUGAAGACACUGGCAAAAUUCGGACUCUUGGCACUUCUUGCUAUGUAAUGUAUAAUUUUAUCAGGUAAGUGUGGACCUCCUGCAGCCCCUAAUACUGUGAAGGAAGGCAACUGCCAAAAGGAUGCUGAGGUCAGUGUGUGAGCACUUAAUUUUGAUAGCAAAGCCCCCAGUGGUAAACAUUUGUGAGAGUACCACAUGUCUUAGAUGCAAAGCUUGCCAAAUUAUCUUAAACAGAACCAGGAUUUAAAGUUUUGGUUUCAAAAAGAAGCUAGGAAUUGAGUUACUGAUACAAACCUGUGCAAUCAGGAACCUGAAUUUGUAGCUUGAAGACUCAUGCAAUGGAGUGAAAACGCUCAGGAAGGCUCUGGAAAAAUUUCCCUUCUCCCUCAGCUUCUCUUCUCACUUAUUUGAUUGCCUGUGGAGUACUGUGUUUGUCACCCACCUCAGACUGCCUGGGAGUCUGAGAGGACUUCUAGGAUUUCAAGUCUGGAAAGCAUUUUAUGGCUCCAAAGUCAGGCUCUGCUGUUACUUAAUAUUUGUGUGGAGCCACAGGUGAUUUACGUGGCCUCUGGCCCAAAGACAUCGCAAUCUAAAUUGAACUCUACAAGACAAGAUGCUGAGAAAGAUAACAGCAAAGCAAGGAAAUGAAGGAGGAAUCCUCUGGACAGGUUUAUGGGCUGUUUGGGAAGUACCAUUAUGCAGCAUGUCAAAAAUAUUUUGCAUUUUUAAAAGUAGGGCAGUGAUUAGCCUGUUAUUAUGUGGAACAGCGUUGUGGAUUAUGGAGCUAUAGGAAAUAGUCUUAAGGAAGGGGUUGCAUGAAGCCUGUGGGAGCAGAUUCACCAUAAGCAGACUGUUGCAGAAAUAAAUAGCCUAUCUGACUAGAAGGCCUGGGAUUUUUUUGCUGCACUGAAAGGGAACAGCGUACUGCUCGGGAGCAUUUCAGUGUAAGAUGAACAUGUGAAACACCCAACACACUUGGGCUUUCUCUUGCAGUUGCUUCUGAAUUCAACCAUAAGCUAAAUAAAAGAAGGAUCCUGCCUCUUCUUGCUCCAUAAACAUCAAAAUAAGUCUUUCUAUAUGCUAAAAAAAGAGAAAAAAGGUGAUCUUUUUAUGGUUUACUAUUAUUUGUUUCCUCUUCUGCUUUGGUUUUCUGAAACUCUUCGGACUUUUGGAAUACUUAAUUUUCUUUUCCUGGACCCUUUGCUUCUUUUUAUCAUAUUCCCCACACCAACUGAGACUUUCUGCAGGCUUUUGUUUUCCCAAGCUCUUGGACCGAUGUCCUGAAGAACUCCAAGCCCUCCAAGUGGCAUUUCUCGAGCAAAGUUUUCUCAAGUGUGUAUCACGAUUUGUAAUCCCGCAUGCUUGCAUAGUAUCAGUCUUUAUCCAGGGAAAUAAAUUGGAUAUAAUUAAAUAUAAAGGUGACCUUUUAAAUCCAAAAAAGAUGAUGCAUGUAGACAAACCCCCAAAUAAUUAACAUUAAAAGAUGUCUCCUCAGCCUGCGAUCAACAACAAUGUCCUGGCCAAAUUACACCUAUAAGCAGAGCCAGAGAGAUUUCCUAAAGCUCUCAGCAUUUUCUUUCUUUACCAUGACUGGCUUAACUCUUUCUCUGCUAUAACCCUUGUUUGUUCUGAC